rnacentral:miRNA from 1 species
GUACGAGUGUCUCAGGGCCAA